rnacentral:rRNA from 1 species
AACGCUAGCUACAGGCUUAACACAUGCAAGUCGAGGGGUAGCAGGGUAGCAAUACCGCUGACGACCGGCGCACGGGUGAGUAACGCGUAUCCAACCUGCCCACAACUAAGGAAUAACCUUGCGAAAGUAAGACUAAUACCUUAUGAUUUCCUCUGAAGGCAUCGGACGAGGAAUAAAGAUUUAUCGGUUAUGGAUGGGGAUGCGUCUGAUUAGCUUGUUGGCGGGGUAACGGCCCACCAAGGCAACGAUCAGUAGGGGUUCUGAGAGGAAGGUCCCCCACAUUGGAACUGAGACACGGUCCAAACUCCUACGGGAGGCAGCAGUGAGGAAUAUUGGUCAAUGGGCGAGAGCCUGAACCAGCCAAGUAGCGUGCAGGAUGACGGCCCUAUGGGUUGUAAACUGCUUUUAUACAGGAAUAAAGUUAGCCACGUGUGGUUAUUUGUAGGUACUGUAUGAAUAAGGACCGGCUAAUUCCGUGCCAGCAGCCGCGGUAAUACGGAAGGUCCAGGCGUUAUCCGGAUUUAUUGGGUUUAAAGGGAGCGUAGGCCGUCUGUUAAGCGUGUUGUGAAAUGUAGAUGCUCAACAUCUGAAUUGCAGCGCGAACUGGCAGACUUGAGUGUGCGCAACGUAGGCGGAAUUCGUGGUGUAGCGGUGAAAUGCUUAGAUAUCACGAAGAACUCCGAUUG